rnacentral:rRNA from 1 species
GAGCGCCUACGGGACGCAGCAGUAGGGAAUAUUGCUCAAUGGGGGAAACCCUGAAGCAGCAACGCCGCGUGGAGGAUGAAGGUUUUAGGAUUGCAAACUCCUUUUGUUAGAGAAGGUUAUGACGGUAUCUAACGAAUAAGCACCGGCUAACUCCGUGCCAGCAGCCGCGGUAAUACGGAGGGUGCAAGCGUUACUCGGAAUCACUGGGCGUAAAGAGUGCGGAGGCGGGGUAAUAAGUCAAAUGUGAAAUCCUGUAGCUUAACUACAGAACUGCCUUUGAAACUGUUACUCUGGAGUGUGGGAGG